CUUCGGGGCGGGGUGAAAUUCCCCACCGGCUGUGUUUGCGAAGGCAUAAGUCAGCGAGCCGUAAGGCAUGACAUGGUGAGAUUCCAUGACCGACAGUAUAGUCUGGAUGUGAGAAGAA
rnacentral:ncRNA from 1 species